rnacentral:rRNA from 1 species
CCUUCCUACAAGUGGGGAAUAGCCCAGAGAAAUUUGGAUUAAUACCCCGUAACAUAUAGAUGUGGCAUCACAACUAUAUUAUAGCUUCGGCGCUUGUUGAUGGGUGUGCGGCUGAUUAGAUAGUUGGCGGGGUAACGGCCCACCAAGUCUACGAUCAGUAGCUGAUGUGAGAGCAUGAUCAGCCACACGGGCACUGAGACACGGGCCAG